UGGAUUAAAUAGAACACACAAUAAACAGUAUGGGACCAAAAGGGAAAUUAAUCCAUUCCCUCCAAAACGCUGCGCAACAACACGGGUUAGAUUGAAACAGACAUAAAAUGUGCAGUAAAAUUUGAAAGAAAUAAAUAAAAAAAUAAAAAAAUAAUUGAAAAACACCAUAAAAACAUGAGGACUAAUUGCGCAAAUAGUCCCUUUAGAAGAAAUGCGCGGAUUCAAACGGGUUUAUGGGUCGGGUCGCACAGGUCACUAAUACGGCACCGUUUUGAUUUCAGUAUAUAAAAAAAUCUGCUUUGUUUUUUUUUUUUAAAUUCUUUUUUUCUGCUUUAGAACAAAAUAAAAGAAAAGGGGAGUAAUGCUCUGCUAGGGUUUUCUUUAUCCCAAGCCACCACCCAAAGCCGCCGCAUCCUCUGGCAUCUCUGUCUCCGAUUCGGCAACAGAUUUCUUCCUUGCUGGUGGAACGAACGUUGAAACGGGCCUUAUGGAAACUGCCGAACGUGUGAGCAAAGACGUGGCUCGAUGAACGGUUUGCUGAACGUGGGUAGUUGCGGCCCCGAAACCAUCAGCCUCUUAGGGUUUCUGUGACCUUGAAAAAUUCGGGCUGUAUAGUGUUAUUGGUUUGGGCUUUAUUGGGCCUCAUGUAUUUGGUUUGUAUUCAGCCAAAUGUGGGCUGUAAACAGUUUUGGGCCCCGGGCAAUAAUUGAGUAUUACUUUUGAAAUUUAAUCUUUAUAUUUUUAUUUUUAAGAA